rnacentral:lncRNA from 1 species
CACCAUGAAAUCUUGUGUACAUGAAUCUAUAUUUUGGUUCAUACUCAAACAUGGCUUUAAGACAUGUACGGGGUGUUCUCAUUCAUAGAUGACUCAAAAAAAAUCUUUUGGCUAAAAGUAGGAAGGAGAUUAGAAAAAAUUUCUAAUACUUUUUCAUUGGAGUCAUCAUUAGUUAAUUGAGAAUCGAUAUGAAUAUGUAUUUGAGUUUGACAUGAUUCCAUACUCAUGAACUUAUUUAGGGUACUGGGAU